UCAACCCUGAAAUCUGAGAUGGGAUGAAUUCAGGUUUAUUCAUUCAUAUUCUCUUUCUCUCUGUGCUUUCUGUCUCUUUCUCUAUUUCUAUAGUGACAAGUCCGUUGACUCUGGACACUAACUCCGCCCAUCCUCUCCUGAGCAUUUCUGAUGGCCUGCGGUCAGCUAUGCGGGUCAAACACCGCCUUCCGUGUGCCACUCACCCCGACCGCUUCGAUCACUGGGCUCAAGUCCUGACUGUCCAGACAUUCUCCUCUGGAACCCAUUACUGGGAGCUGGAGGCAGAAGGCUUCUGGGACAUUGCGGUGACCUACCGGAGCAUCGGGCGGAAGGGGAAGGUGGGCAAUGCCUUUGGAAAUAACAAGAUGUCUUGGAGCUUGACACAGCAGCAUGAUAGAAAGCUAGCCGCCUGGCACAACCGCAGGAAGACACGCAUCUCCAGUCGAAUGUCGGGCAACCGUGUUGGCGUGGCCCUGGACUAUGGCGCAGGCACCAUCACCUUCUCCGAGGUGGGGCCAUCCAACACCCUGACCCACCUGCACAACUUCACCACCUCCUUCAGCCAGCCCGUGUGCCUGGGCUUUGGCCUCUACAAAGCUGAACUCCAUAGCAGAAUCUCCAUAGUGAGGGUGUGAGAGAUCAUCAGGAACCAGAGAAUUAGAAUGGGGUGGGAGCUCAAGGAUAGAGACUUUGUGGGAGGUUUCCUUCUGGAACAUCUCCCGGGACCUCAUGGGGGAUUGGACGAUGAACAAUAGAGCUUGUGUGAGCAUGACAAAUGGUAAGACUACAUUCUUACAGAGCUCAGGACUCAAAGUACUAUGAACUAUGACUUUGAAUCAGUAAGGAAUGGAUGUGUAUGUCCUACUUUUGUCACAGUUUGGGGGAAUUUGAAAGACCCAAGCAACUUGGACCCAAGAGAGAGUUUUAAUCAAAUACAUCCAAACUACAGGACAAUAUUCUAAAGAAAAUGUAACAUUCAGUGGAUAGUUCUAGAUUCUUGUGAUGUAACAUAGCUAUGGGGUCCCUUUUCCUUUUCUGAGUUUGUUUAGACUAUUUUUUCUUUGGGGCACUCAUGUACCAAGCUAAAUAACCCAAAUAGUGUUGAGAAAAAAGAGAUGGAAGGUGUGUGGACUGAACCAUAUUGUAGUAUAGAUAACAGAAUCAUCAGACAUUAGAAUCUUUCACAAAAGUGAAAUUAUGUAGGCCAUUAUAUUGAAAGGGAUUCGCUGGAAGAUGCUCAAGGUAGAUUCACAUGCUUUAAAUCAAUGCCAUAGUCCGUGUCAGACUAAACAAUGUCACAAAAUUACCUUCAACAUUAAAACAUCUCAGAUGCAAUACUUGCACUGUCACUUUUCAUUGUUAGAGAGAAAAUGAGUAGGUGGGUGAGUGACAGAGAAUUAAAGAGUGUGUGAGAGAGAGAGAGAGAGAGAGAGAGAGCGAGGGAGAGAGAGAGAUAACACAGUGGGUCCUCUGGCAUGGCCAUUUAGAUGCCUGUUUCAAAGGGAGGUCUCUGUGAUCCUGUAGAAUGUGAGAGAAGAGAGUAGAAAGUGGUUAUGAGGAAUAUGUGACUAUCACUCCAUCUCCAAGGAGCAAAAUUGUACUUCACCCGAUAUGGAAAAUAAGGACGACACCUUUCAAACUGAAACAGGUCCUGUGUGAUGAUGCAGUAGAUUGGAACGCACACAAACGUCUAUUUGCCCAUGCUAUCCUGCCACCUACUGCCACUGUUGCAAACCAGCACAGAAUCACAGGAGAGAUAUCCAUGAGAACAGAGUGAGAGAGAUAGAGGGAGGGAAGGACAGACAGAUAGUGUGGGGUAAAUAGAGGGAGAGACUGUAUGUUGACUUCGUCGACUUCUGCUGAACACUGAUAACUCCAAACCCUCCUGGUUGUCAGUCUGUGAGUCCUACCUGUUGACAAACCUCUAUAUUUAUUACUGGGAGACUUCCUACAUAUCGUCUAGGUGGGAUAGGAGACCGCUGUCAUAGAACAGGGUGGUGGACCAAGUCCAACCAAUUGAGGACACUAAUGAUCCUGCUGAAUAUCAGCUACAACAUCAAUUGUGAGACAUUUUAGGACCUGAGUGACACGAGAGAAUAUUUAGCGUUUUAAAUCUAUUUAGCCUGGGCAUAUUUAUCUAUGUCUGUAAUCUUUCCAUACUAGAAUUAAUAACAGAUAUACAAUCAAAACAAAGACAGUUAAAAGCAUGUAUCCCA